UUAUACUCCUCCUCCUCCUCCUCUUUUUUCCUUUAUCAUAUCUUCUCUUUCUCCUCAUGUCCUUUUCGUUUUUUAUCUCCUUCUUCUUCUGCUCUAUGGUUUUCUUUCCUUCACUUAUUCUAUGCCUAUAUUUGAGUUGUUCCUUGUUUUCCCUCCUUCUCCUCGUCUCCUCGUUUCUCAUAUCCUUUCUUCUUCUAUUGCUCAUAAUCCUAACAUAACACAGCCUAGCAUUAUAACAUGACAUAACACAGAACCAAAAUGCAUUAAAAAAAAAAAAACACUUGGGAUAUAAAUAACGUGAAUUAAGACAGCAGGGAGUCCCACACGCAACACCGGCGGGAAUACCACACGAGGACACAGGCAGGUCCCCAAAGGUAGCGGUCUAUCAGGGAAGGGGGAGUGAGAGAUGAUAUAGCGGGCAAGAAUCUAUGUAAGCUCAGUGUUGCUUGACUUCUUCCUUCGUCAACACAGCCUCGCAAUGCGUCUGCUGUGGCUGCUGGUGGUGCUGGCGGCUGUCCUGGUUGCCUCCCACGCCGCUGCGAAUCCCUUGUCUCCCAUCCCUCCAGGGCCAUUCCCGCCGCCUGGGCCAAGGCCGAUACCCUUACCAUACCCAUGGCCAGGUCCACCAAUCCCAGGGCCAUAUCCACCCCGUCCCCCAAUAGGACCGUACGGCUGGUGAAUCAGAGUUGUUGCUUCACCACACAUGCCUGCUGCCAGAGCCUCAAUAACCUGGACACUCCUACUACACUCUCCCUGCGACACCUUGAUCUGAUGCUGCUGUUUGUUUGUGUUCCUUAAGUGAAGAAGAGUCACUAAUUUCUUAAUCUGAAAUGUAUCCCUGUAUAGAGCUUUGAAAUAAA